CGAUAAUAUCGCAACAUCCCUAACGGUGGUAGGGAUGGAGAGGAAUAAGUAAAUAACGUAUUUGAUUUGUUUGAGUAAGGUUUGGAAUGAAGUAAUAAUGAUGUGUUUAACAAACUUCCAACCCAAUUUUGAAGUAUUUCAAAGUGAAAGUCUACAUUGUUGUUAAUAUAUCUUCGGUUGUUUGAUUGAAUCAAUGCAAUGGCUUUUGACUACAAUGAUGCUGUUUUCACAACACCUCUUAUCAGAGCAAUUUAUAACCACAAUGUGGAAGGUGUAAGGGAAGCAUUGGACCGGGGGUUUAGCGCAAACUUGCCUGACAAUCGAGGAUGGACACCUCUCCAUGAAGCUGCCAGCAAAGAUGCUUCCAGUGAGUGUUUAAAGGAACUAUUGGCACACAGUUCUGCUGUUGUAAACUCACAAACAUUUGAAGGAAACACUCCACUAUUUCUUGCGUGCCAGAAUGGCUGUCUGAAUGCUGUGAAUCUAUUGUUAAAACAGUCAAAGUGUGAUGUGAACCUUGCCAACAUUGAAGAAGUUCCUCCUCUGAAUGUGGCUUGUAGUAAAGGAAACUUCAAAAUUGUGCAACUUCUUGUGGAAUUUGGAGCGAAAGUAAAUGCUCAGGAUUUCAAUGGUUAUACAGCUCUUCAUGAAGCAGUUCUUCAUCCCACCUCUAGAAGGGGAGUUCGAGAGCAACAAGAUGAAAUAAGACAUGAAAUUUGUCGUUUUCUUCUGAGGCACAAUGCUAAUCCUGAUGUUUUAGAAGACGAAGGAAACUUUCCUUUCCAUUUUGCAUGCCAAAGUGGUCUUUUAAAAACAUUGACCCUGUUAUUUACCUCCUCUAAACAACAUCAUUUGAUCAAUUUUCGCAACAAGGAUGGACGUACUCCUCUAAUGUUGGCUGUUCAAUCUCAUAACAUAUCAGUUGUUCAAGCGUUAUUAUCACAAGGGGCAAAUGCUAAUGUUGCAGAUAAUUCCAAUGUUACACCUCUUCAUCUUGCAGCUCACUCAGCAAAUUUUGACAUAUUUAAUUCACUACACAGCGUAACCAGUAAUGAAUUUAUUUUAAAGUACUGCACAGUCGAUGAGGAGAGAGAUUUUGAAGUAAUAUUCAACAAGAAAAGAAUUAAUAGUUUGAUAUGUCUUGCUAUUGACACGGAAGAUUUAUCAUUUUUAGUUAAGGUAUUGGAAUCAAAUUUUGAUCCAGCUGUUUUACAAUGUCCUGUGAUUCAUGCCGAGAACUUGGUAAAGAAAAGCUUUACAUUGCAUACACCCAUAUCGUUUUUGCUUGAAAGCAAGAUGUACGAUUUAGGUGAAAAGACCCUAGAAUUCUUAUUAGCAUUGAUUAAUCAUGGAAGUCAGUUAAGAGUGGUAAGUAAAAUUAGUUCAAUCAGCUACGUAGAUCCGAUAUGCGCCAGCUUAGUUGCUUUAAAUGAUUGUCCUGUGAGCACUGUUGUGAGAUGUAUAAGGAUGUUGUUGCAACAUGGAGCUGAUCCUGAUGAACCUCACGGUAGAAUGCCACAUGCUAUGGAGCAAGCUUGUAUGAGAGGUUGUGCUGAGGCAGUACUGCUCUUAAUUCAGUAUUCCAAUGUACUAGAACCAGAAGACGUAAUCAGAUGGAUUGAACAAGAAACUUCUACUGAACAACAAGAAAUUGUAAAAGUUCUUUUACCACUAGCGCCUUAUUAUACUCCCUCUGAUAGACUCUUACCUGAUUUGGUGGGUAGUCCUCAAAGAAAGGCUUUAUUAGCACCAAAAGUGUAUCCUUUAACCAACUAUUGUAGGACUGUUAUAAGACGACAAGUUCGUGAAGAAUCUAAGACAUCCUUGUCUAAAUUCAGACAAAACCUCUUUGAUUUGUUUCUACCAAAAGACCUGUGUAUGUUUCUUAGUUAUAUGUAAAUUCUUUUCAAACUAUCUCAUUCCUACGAAUGUAUUUGUAAAAACAUUGAUGCAAUAGAAGUUUAGUAUACUAGUUUCGUACAUACAAUAUGUCUAGACUUACCAUAUAAUGUUUUAUAUGGUAAUAAUGCUAAUAAAAUGUUUAUAAACCGUUUUAAUAUAAGGUUAAUUUUAUUUCUUUGGAAUCAUGCUAUUUUGGUUGUGUAUUUAUUACAUGUGUAAAGGAAGUUAUAUUUAUUUUGUACAUGUUUACAAUUCAAAAAAGUAAAAUUGUGUAACAUAAUAUAACUUAGGAAACAUAAUAUGUUAUAUUUAUUUUGUACAUGUUUACAAUUCAAAAAAGUAAAAUUGUGUAACAUAAUAUAACUUAAUAAAUGUAAAGAUAAAUCGAAUGUAUUUAAAUAAUAUUUCUUUCACAAUUAAAAAUUACACCUAAUUCUUUUGAUAGUUAUUUAAAAUACCAUAGGAAUAUAUUUUUGACUAUAUCACAACUUAGGGUAAUUUCAAGUUGAAAAAUAUAAUACACCACUAAGGUGUAAAAUGAAGCCUAAUGAGGUAAAUGUCUGUCUUUUGUGUAAUGGACAAUAUUGGAAAAUUAAUGCUAACAAAUAUUUCGCAGUAAAUUAUAGUUUAUUUUAAUUGGUGUCUUUAGUAAGGUUAUUAUUAAGAGGAACUAAAGAUCUGUACCUGCUAAUAAAAAAAAAAAAAUAAAGAACUUACCUUAUAGUCUUUGUCUUGUUCUAGUUGUGUAACAUUUAUGUAACCUGUUAAUUAUUAUGACCAGAUUGGAUUUAUAGCUAUAUCUUUAAUAUAUUCCAGUAGAUUUUAAAAGGAGAUAAAAUGCAUAAUUGCUCUGAGCUGGUUAGAAGCAUAUUCAAAAAUGUUAAAGCAACCCUUCCUUAUUUUUUUACUUAAUAGCUUAAAUGAACUUAUGUGACAAAUCGUAGUCAGAAAAUAGGUGGAGUUCGGCAGGAGUUGAAAAUGGAGUAUCUCAGUCCUUUUAACUUGGACUGCUUCUCAAUCUAUGGAAAAUAGCUAAACUAACAGGAAUAUAUUAUUAACUAUAUUACAACUCAGGGUUAUUUUAAUUUGAAAAAUUUAAUAACCAAAGAGGUGUAAAAUUCAGCUUAAUGAGGUAUAACUGACAAUAUUGGAAAACCAACAAAUAUUUCACAGUAAAUUAUAGAUCAUUUCAAUUUGUUUUAGUUUGUUUGCUUAUUUAAAAUCAAAAACCUCUUUGAUUUGUUUCUACUAAAAGACCUUUGUAUGUUCCUUAGUUAUAUGUAAUUUUUUUUAAAUAUCUAAAUUCUUUACGAAUGUAUUUGUAAAAACGUUGAUGCAAUAGAAGUGUACUAUACGAGUCUCGUACUUAAAUAUCUAGACUUGCCAUUAUGUUUAUAAACCAUUUUGAUGUAAGAGUUAAUUAUUUUAUUUGUUUGGAAUAAUACUAUUUUAGUCGUGUAUGUUAGUGUCUUAAGUAAAGUUAUUAUUAGAGGAACUAAAGAUUUUUUGUAUCGGCUAAUAAAAUAAAAAUAAAUAAAGUACUGACCUUA
rnacentral:misc_RNA from 1 species